GUGCAAAGAUACAGUUAGAGUACUGUGGUGGCAUGCCGGAGCAAAUAACAAGCGACCGGCCAGUGAAAAUAGUUAGAAACACCUCCAAACAAAUAACGACUUAAUAUCUCGUUGUUGCCAGGUGAGUGAACUUGCAUUAAAAUUUUGGGAUAUACACGUUUAUGUUUGAUUGAAUCCUCUAAAGCAUUUUAUUGGUUUUUCUUCAACAAUUUGCACGGGAACAAGCCUUUAUGAAAUGUUUUUAUGUUAUGAAAUAGAUAGUGUGAUGAAUUCAUAUGUUUUUGUAUGAUGUGGAUAUAUAUAUAUAUAUAUAUAUAUACUAUGUCAUAAAUGGUACCAUUGUGUGACAAAUGCAACCGUGCAUGUGCGGGGUGAGGUGCAUUUGCCAGUGAUGACAGUGUGAGGGAGAUGGAUGGUGACACUGCCUGUGUGCACGAUGUGGGGGCAUGUACACGAUGGCAUUAUUUUGUGCACAAUGUGGGGGGAUGCACAUGAGCUGGGUGAGAUGGGAUGUCCAGCUAUGUGCACGAUGUGAGGGGAUGCGUAGGAGCUGGAUGAGAUGUGGUGAUAUACUAGUUGAUAUAUGCUUAAGUAUAUGCUUAAGUAUAUGUAUAUGCAAUAGAAAGAUUAUGAUUAUAAUAUGUGAUCAUAUGGCAUGAUGAAUCUUGAAAAUUUCCCAUUUACUUGUGAACUGAUUU
rnacentral:lncRNA from 1 species